UCUGGUUGAUCCUGCCAGUAGUCAUAUGCUUGUCUCAAAGAUUAAGCCAUGCAUGUCUAAGUAUAAGCAAUUUAUACAGUGAAACUGCGAAUGGCUCAUUAAAUCAGUUAUCGUUUAUUUGAUAGUUUCUUUACUACAUGGAAUACCUGUGGUAAUUCUAGAGCUAAUACAUGCUUAAAAUCCCAACUUACGAAGGGAUGUAUUUAUUAGAUAAAAAAUCAAUGUCUUCGGACUUCUGAUGAUUCAUAAUAACUUUUCGAAUCGCAUGGCUUUAUGCUGGCGAUGGUUCAUUCAAAUUUCUGCCCUAUCAACUUUUGAUGGUAGGAUAGUGGCCUACCAUGGUUUCAACGGGUAACGGGGAAUAAGGGUUCGAUUCCGGAGAGGGAGCCUGAGAAACGGCUACCACAUCCAAGGAAGGCAGCAGGCGCGCAAAUUACCCAAUCCUAAUUCAGGGAGGUAGUGACAAUAAAUAACGAUACAGGGCUUUAUGUCUUGUAAUUGGAAUGAGUACAAUUUAAAUACCUUAACGAGGAACAAUUGGAGGGCAAGUCUGGUGCCAGCAGCCGCGGUAAUUCCAGCUCCAAUAGCGUAUAUUAAAGUUGUUGCAGUUAAAAAGCUCGUAGUUGAACUUUGGGCUUGGAGAAUCGGUCCAACUUUGUUGUGUACUGUCUUCUCCAGGUCUUUCCUUCUGGUUCUCAUUUGGGGUUUACUCCAUUUGUUGAUCCAGGAUUUUUACUUUGAAAAAAUUAGAGUGUUCAAAGCAGGCGUUUUGCUCGAAUAUAUUAGCAUGGAAUAAUAGAAUAGGACGAUUGGUUCUAUUUUGUUGGUUUCUAGGACCAUCGUAAUGAUUAAUAGGGACGGUCGGGGGCAUCAGUAUUCAGUUGUCAGAGGUGAAAUUCUUGGAUUUACUGAAGACUAACUACUGCGAAAGCAUUUGUCAAGGACGUUUUCAUUAAUCAAGAACGAAAGUUAGGGGAUCGAAGAUGAUCAGAUACCGUCGUAGUCUUAACC
rnacentral:rRNA from 1 species